UUCAGAAUCUUAACUCUUGUAACUACCCCGCAUCUUGCAAAAUAAAUCGAAAGGUCUAUAAAUGUGCUUGCUUACAACCGCAAAUGCUCGUAAAAGAAUAAAUAAUAAAUAUCUACCGAAAUCACUUCAGCCGACUCAUGCAUAAGAACAACCUAAUUGACAAUCUUCCGUCAAAACAAACAGUUAAAUGAUUAUAUUUUACUAUCCUUUUUUAUGGACUUUUUAUGCGGCCCUAUAGACAAUACCAAAGAAGAUAUAAUAUAUUGUAUUGUAUACGAGAGUACAUAAAAUUUGAAGUGGGCCAUAACUUUGGCUCGAGUCACUUGAUGAAGUAUUUUAUUACUAUUAAACGCCAAUGUUAUAGGCUAAACAAAACACCAUCACGAUAACUGAUUGUCUGAUCGUAAAAUUGUCGUAAAAAUGAAAACGACCUUCGCCCUGAUCAUCAUCAUCGUAAUCGUCAUAUCAUGGAAACAGUCUAUCAGAAUAGUACCGUAGAAAUGUGACAUAACAAUCAACGAAAACGUAGCUCAUUCGAAUUCUUUGUUCGAGCGUUUGAUGGUUUUAUUUUGUGCGUUGAGGAUGAAUAAGAAUCUAUGGGGAUAGACAACAAGUGUCAUAGAGGGCGCUAAGUCGUAAAAAGAAGUCAUAAACGCUGUACGGAAGCAAAAGAUUAUAGCCGUGCCAUAACCGCCAAUGUAACCUUAAGCCACACAGAGAGCACGAAGGGCGCAUGUAAAAUGUUGUAUGUGUAAGAACGCUGGGAAGACGCUUCUUUUGACAGCCAACGUCAAGUGAGUGGUUAAACAUUCAUUAAAUGGAGAGUCUGUAGGAUAGAUGGUGCGUUUUAUAAGCCGUAACCGGUGUUGAUAUGUUCCUUUUGUUCGGGAAUUUUACGACUCAUCUCUCACAUUUCUUCAUACUGAAUCCAAUCAGGAGCGCGCUUUUCUUACCUACCUAGAAGUUUAUGUAGAUACGGCAGAGUGGACCCCGCAUAGGAAAGAUGUCAGAAUGGUGUCUCUUCAAGAAGAGUUCUUACGACUUUAUAUGGGUUGUUCUUGUUCUUUUAGUACCUAACUGCUGAAGCCAUUUCAGAGCUCGUAAAAUCAAAGGCGGACACUUGUGAUAUCUACUUAACACCACCAGAAACAAUCUCGCCAAUGUCGCCUUUACUUCAAAACCAUCAACAUCACCAUUUACCAUCGCAACCACCACCACCAAUACCUACCGCUCUCUACCAAAGCAUCGUCAUCAUCAUCACCAGCACCGUCACCACCGCCCGAACCAAACCAUAACCAAAAACCACCAUUAACUUAAUUCUGUGCUGCUGCUGCUGUUGCUGUUGCUGCUUCUGCUGCUGUUGCGGCAACAACGGCAGGUUUUAUGAUUUUUUUACGAUUAUUGUACGAUUAUCGUUGAGCGUAAAUGAUUGCAAUAAAAACUAUCAAGUUUAUUGAAAAUUUCA